rnacentral:rRNA from 1 species
CUAACAGACGAGGAGCUUGCUCCUCUGACGUUAGCGGCGGACGGGUGAGUAACACGUGGAUAACCUACCUAUAAGACUGGGAUAACUUCGGGAAACCGGAGCUAAUACCGGAUAAUAUAUUGAACCGCAUGGUUCAAUAGUGAAAGACGGUUUUGCUGUCACUUAUAGAUGGAUCCGCGCCGCAUUAGCUAGUUGGUAAGGUAACGGCUUACCAAGGCAACGAUGCGUAGCCGACCUGAGAGGGUGAUCGGCCACACUGGAACUGAGACACGGUCCAGACUCCUACGGGAGGCAGCAGUAGGGAAUCUUCCGCAAUGGGCGAAAGCCUGACGGAGCAACGUCGCGUGAGUGAUGAAGGUCUUCGGAUCGUAAAACUCUGUUAUUAGGGAAGAACAAAUGUGUAAGUAACUAUGCACGUCUUGACGGUACCUAAUCAGAAAGCCACGGCUAACUACGUGCCAGCAGCCGCGGUAAUACGUAGGUGGCAAGCGUUAUCCGGAAUUAUUGGGCGUAAAGCGCGCGUAGGCGGUUUUUUAAGUCUGAUGUGAAAGCCCACGGCUCAACCGUGGAGGGUCAUUGGAAACUGGAAAACUUGAGUGCAGAAGAGGAAAGUGGAAUUCCAUGUGUAGCGGUGAAAUGCGCAGAGAUAUGGAGGAACACCAGUGGCGAAGGCGACUUUCUGGUCUGUAACUGACGCUGAUGUGCGAAAGCGUGGGGAUCAAACAGGAUUA